UACGUAGGGUGCGAGCGUUAAUCGGAUUUACUGGGCGUAAAGCGUGCGCAGGCGGUUCGGAAAGAAAGAUGUGAAAUCCCAGAGCUUAACUUUGGAACUGCAUUUUUAACUACCGGGCUAGAGUGUGUCAGAGGGAGGUGGAAUUCCGCGUGUAGCAGUGAAAUGCGUAGAUAUGCGGAGGAACACCGAUGGCGAAGGCAGCCUCCUGGGAUAACACUGACGCUCAUGCACGAAAGCGUGGGGAGCAAACAGG
rnacentral:rRNA from 1 species